AGUGAACGCUGGCGGUAGGCCUAACACAUGCAAGUCGAACGGCAGCACAGUAAGAGCUUGCUCUUACGGGUGGCGAGUGGCGGACGGGUGAGGAAUACAUCGGAAUCUACUUUUUCGUGGGGGAUAACGUAGGGAAACUUACGCUAAUACCGCAUACGACCUACGGGUGAAAGCAGGGGAUCUUCGGACCUUGCGCGAUUGAAUGAGCCGAUGUCGGAUUAGCUAGUUGGCGGGGUAAAGGCCCACCAAGGCGACGAUCCGUAGCUGGUCUGAGAGGAUGAUCGGCCACACUGGAACUGGGACACGGUCCAGGCUCCUACGGGAGGCAGCAGUGGGGAAUAUUAGACAGUGGGCGCGAGCCUGAUCCAGCCAUACCGCGUGGGUUAAGAAGGCCUUCGGGUUGUAAAGCCCUUUUGUUGGUAAAGAAAAGCAGCAGGUUAAUACCCCGCUGUUCUGACGGUACCCAAAGAAUAAGCACCGGCUAACUUCGUU
rnacentral:rRNA from 1 species